UUAUCGGAGAGUUUGAUCCUGGCUCAGGACGAACGCUGGCGGCGUGCCUAAUACAUGCAAGUCGAGCGGACAGAUGGGAGCUUGCUCCCUGAUGUUAGCGGCGGACGGGUGAGUAACACGUGGGUAACCUGCCUGUAAGACUGGGAUAACUCCGGGAAACCGGGGCUAAUACCGGAUGGUUGUUUGAACCGCAUGGUUCAAACAUAAAAGGUGGCUUCGGCUACCACUUACAGAUGGACCCGCGGCGCAUUAGCUAGUUGGUGAGGUAACGGCUCACCAAGGCAACGAUGCGUAGCCGACCUGAGAGGGUGAUCUACCACACUGGGACUGAGACACGUACCAGACUCCUACGGGAGGCAGCAGUAGGGAAUCUUCCGCAAUGGACGAAAGUCUGACGGAGCAACGCCGCGUGAGUGAUGAAGGUUUUCGGAUCGUAAAGCUCUGUUGUUAGGGAAGAACAAGUACCGUUCGAAUAGGGCGGUACCUUGACGGUACCUAACCAGAAAGCCACGGCUAACUACGUGCCAGCAGCCGCGGUAAUACGUAGGUGGCAAGCGUUGUCCGGAAUUAUUGGGCGUAAAGGGCUCGCAGGCGGUUUCUUAAGUCUGAUGUGAAAGCCCCCGGCUCAACCGGGGAGGGUCAUUGGAAACUGGGGAACUUGAGUGCAGAAGAGGAGAGUGGAAUUCCACGUGUAGCGGUGAAAUGCGUAGAGAUGUGGAGGAACACCAGUGGCGAAGGCGACUCUCUGGUCUGUAACUGACGCUGAGGAGCGAAAGCGUGGGGAGCGAACAGGAUUAGAUACCCUGGUAGUCCACGCCGUAAACGAUGAGUGCUAAGUGUUAGGGGGUUUCCGCCCCUUAGUGCUGCAGCUAACGCAUUAAGCACUCCGCCUGGGGAGUACGGUCGCAAGACUGAAACUCAAAGGAAUUGACGGGGGCCCGCACAAGCGGUGGAGCAUGUGGUUUAAUUCGAAGCAACGCGAAGAACCUUACCAGGUCUUGACAUCCUCUGACAAUCCUAGAGAUAGGACGUCCCCUUCGGGGGCAGAGUGACAGGUGGUGCAUGGUUGUCGUCAGCUCGUGUCGUGAGAUGUUGGGUUAAGUCCCGCAACGAGCGCAACCCUUGAUCUUAGUUGCCAGCAUUCAGUUGGGCACUCUAAGGUGACUGCCGGUGACAAACCGGAGGAAGGUGGGGAUGACGUCAAAUCAUCAUGCCCCUUAUGACCUGGGCUACACACGUGCUACAAUGGACAGAACAAAGGGCAGCGAAACCGCGAGGUUAAGCCAAUCCCACAAAUCUGUUCUCAGUUCGGAUCGCAGUCUGCAACUCGACUGCGUGAAGCUGGAAUCGCUAGUAAUCGCGGAUCAGCAUGCCGCGGUGAAUACGUUCCCGAGCCUUGUACACACCGCCCGUCACACCACGAGAGUUUGUAACACCCGAAGUCGGUGAGGUAACCUUUUAGGAGCCAGCCGCCGAAGGUGGGACAGAUGAUUGGGGUGAAGUCGUAACAAGGUAGCCGUAUCGGAAGGUGCGGCUGGAUCACCUCCUUU
rnacentral:rRNA from 1 species